CCUACGGGAGGCAGCAGUGGGGAAUUUUGGACAAUGGGCGCAAGCCUGAUCCAGCAAUGCCGCGUGAGUGAAGAAGGCCUUCGGGUUGUAAAGCUCUUUUGUCAGGGAAGAAACGGCUGAGGUUAAUACCUUUGGCUAAUGACGGUACCUGAAGAAUAAGCACCGGCUAACUACGUGCCAGCAGCCGCGGUAAUACGUAGGGUGCAAGCGUUAAUCGGAAUUACUGGGCGUAAAGCGUGCGCAGGCGGUUUUGUAAGUCUGUCGUGAAAGCCCCGGGCUCAACCUGGGAAUUGCGAUGGAGACUGCAAGGCUUGAAUCUGGCAGAGGGGGGUAGAAUUCCACGUGUAGCAGUGAAAUGCGUAGAGAUGUGGAGGAACACCGAUGGCGAAGGCAGCCCCCUGGGUCAAGAUUGACGCUCAUGCACGAAAGCGUGGGGAGCAAACAGGAUUAGAUACCCUGGUAGUCCACGCCCUAAACGAUGUCUACUAGUUGUCGGGUUUUAAUUAACUUGGUAACGCAGCUAGCGCGUGAAGUAGACCGCCUGGGGGUACGUCGCAAGNUUAAACUUAGAAUUGAGUUGNGNGNGNGNGAGCGACGAGAGAGAGG
rnacentral:rRNA from 1 species